rnacentral:lncRNA from 1 species
GGCGGGCCCGGGCUGCGGCGUGUGCGCGCCCGCCAGCUGCUCCGGAGAUACGAAUUGCAUUUUGUGAAAAAAGAACAAGAAUUUUCUGCAAGGAUCAUAUCUAAGUGCACUUUUUGCUGAUACUUCAUUUCUAUCUUGUAGAAAAUUUCAGCUGUAGCCCUUGGACUAGAAGCUGAAAUAACAGAAGCUGUGUACGAUGCAUUAGGGUAUUGAAGAAAAUUAACUUUUGAAUUAAAUAUUUGGAAUAUAAGGAAAUAAGGAAAGUUGACUGAAA